CCUACGGGAGACAGCAGUGAGGAAUAUUGGUCAAUGGACGCAAGUCUGAACCAGCCAUGCCGCGUGCAGGAAGACGGCUCUAUGAGUUGUAAACUGCUUUUGUACGAGGGUAAACGCAGAUACGCGUAUCUGUCUGAAAGUAUCGUACGAAUAAGGAUCGGCUAACUACGUGCCAGCCGCCGCGGUAAUGCGGAGGAUUCAAGCGUUGUCCGGAUUUAUUGGGUUUAAAGGGUGCGUAGGCGGUCGGAUAAGUUAGAUGUGAAAUCCCGCGGCUCAACUUCGGAAGUGCCUUGGAUACUGUGCGGCUAGAGAGUAGAAGCGGUAGGCGGAAUGUAUGGUGUAGCGGUGAAAUGCUUAGAGAUCAGACGGAACACCGAUUGCGAAGGCAGCUUACCGGUCUACUUCGGACGUUGAGGCACGAAAGCGUGGGGAGCAAACAGGAUUAGAUACCCGAGUAGUC
rnacentral:rRNA from 1 species